rnacentral:lncRNA from 1 species
UGACAUUUGACAGCUUUAUUUGAAGUGAAACUAAGAUUCAGAACUGUAUCAAAUCCAGACAGAUGCAAAUAGUUACAGGUGGCCAAAUCCAACAAUCAUUCAUAGUACAAUACUCCUUACGAUGCAGUUCAACUGCUAUACAAGCAGGUACAGUAGAGAGCUGAAUAGGUACAACACCAGCUACAGCUUAUCCGGAAGGGGAAUUUGGCAUGCAUCUGGUGCGUCGUUGGGUGAUACUCCUGAGCGUAAACCACGAGGGCCCGCUGAAGUAAGCUUCAGAUACGAAGUAUCAUGGCGUAUAUGUACAAAAAAUCCAUGUGCAAGAUCUAAUACCCAUUACAUAAAUGCUACCGUACUCUUGCAGCCCAUGUAGCGCCGGUAAUCGUGAUGCAGAAUCUGUUGGCAGUAUCCAGUAACAGUCCAUCAGAGUUCAGAUGACAAGCCGGUGGACAUUGCGGCUCUGCUGGUGAGCGCGGGCCUCAUUGUCACCAGAGCAGAUUCGUUUGCACCAGCCCUAAGAGCGAUCCUUCCAGCCUCCAGGAAUCUGGAGACAGCAUCCUCUGCGUAGCGGUUUGCUUCGCCUACACUCAUCGUCUUGCCAAUAUCCGGAUAGCUGUUGAGCACGUGGUCACCAUUGAGCUGAGAGGCAAGUUGAAUCAACUCCACUUGAAACUCCGAUAGAGAUUUAUCUUCAUUAGCAC